CCGGAUGAAGAAAGAAUCGAGCUGAUCAGUGAUGAGCCCUAUGAGUGCUGACG
rnacentral:snoRNA from 1 species